rnacentral:rRNA from 1 species
CCUACGGGCGGCAGCAGUGGGGAAUAUUGCACAAUGGGCGCAAGCCUGAUGCAGCCAUGCCGCGUGUGUGAAGAAGGCCUUCGGGUUGUAAAGCACUUUCAGCGGGGAGGAAGGCGUUAAGGUUAAUAACCUUGGCGAUUGACGUUACCCGCAGAAGAAGCACCGGCUAACUCCGUGCCAGCAGCCGCGGUAAUACGGAGGGUGCAAGCGUUAAUCGGAAUUACUGGGCGUAAAGCGCACGCAGGCGGUCUGUCAAGUCGGAUGUGAAAUCCCCGGGCUCAACCUGGGAACUGCAUUCGAAACUGGCAGGCUAGAGUCUUGUAGAGGGGGGUAGAAUUCCAGGUGUAGCGGUGAAAUGCGGAGAGAUCUGGAGGAAUACCGGUGGCGAAGGCGGCCCCCUGGACAAAGACUGACGCUCAGGUGCGAAAGCGUGGGGAGCAAACAGGAUUAGAUACCCCGGUAGUC